UUAGUAGGGUUUAGUGUUUAGGGUUUAUAUAUGUGUUUAGGGUUUAGUGAUUAGGGUUUAGGGUUUAUAUUUGGGUUUAGGGUUUAGUGAUUAGGGUUUAGGGUUUAUAUUUGGGUUUAGUGAUUAGGGUUUAGAGUUUAGUGAUUAGUGUUUAGGGUUUAUAUCUGGGUUUAAGGUUUAGUGAUUAUGGUUUAGGAUUUAUAUUUGAGUUUAGGGUUUAGUGAUUAGGGUUUAGGGUUUUGUGAUUAGUGUUUAGGGUUUAUAUAUGGGUUUAGGGUUUAUAUUUGGGUUUAGGGUUUAGUGAUUAGGGUUUAGGGUUUAGUAAUUUUCUUUUCAAGCUAGAGUUUAGGGUUUAGGGUUUAUAUGUCAUGUCUUCAAAUUUGAUAUUUCUCUUCUAUGCCCUUUUGUACGAUUGUUCGUAAUAUAAAAUUAGUUUCAUUCAAAUGUUCGACAAUGUUAGAGUCAUGUCUAGUUCAAAAACGUCUUUUUCAUCAACAAGUAUUUUUAUUUCUUCUCGUACUAUUUCACAUAUGAUGCUCAACUAAUAUAAAUAGAACAAAUAUUUGUAUACUAUUUUAUACAAUGUUCCAUACUAUGUAUGUAUAGUACUUGAAAAUAUUAUAAAAUAUUAUAUAUUUCAGAUUUUGAUUUUCUUUUAAAUAUAUAUUAUAGCUUAGAUUUGAGUUUAGGAUUUAGUGACCAAAGUUUAGAGUUUAGUAAUUAGGGGUUCGGUUUAGAGUUUAGUAUGAUAUUUUCCAUCUUUAUAUACUAUAGUUUAAUAUCACAAAAUAUUAUAUAUAUUUUUUAGAUUUUAAUUUUAUUUCAAAUUUAUAAAUAUAUAAUAUAGUUUACAUUUGAGUUUGGGUUUAGUAUUAAAAGUUGGAGUUAGAUUUAGGUUUAUAUUUGAUUUAUGGUUUAUAUUUGGAUUUAGGGUUUAGUGAUUAGGGUUUAAGGUUUAGUAUUUAGAGAUUAGUUUCAGAUUGAGAUAAGUUUUAGUAUCUAGAUUUUAAGGUUGAUGUAUAAUUAAUAUUCUAUAUUAUUUUGGUGAUAUGAAGUAGAAUUAAUGAAAUAUUUGUGGUUAUAUGUAUGUGAUGUGGCUGUGUUAUCUUCCUUUUGUUGGUGACAGUUUGCAUUAAUUGUUGGCUACACUUGGAUUUUGUCAACGUCAUCUCCACAUCUUUAAGUCACCGGCAACUUGUAUGAAUCAAAAAUAAAAUC
rnacentral:lncRNA from 1 species